rnacentral:rRNA from 1 species
CCUACGGGAGGCAGCAGUGAGGAAUAUUGGUCAAUGGGCGCGAGCCUGAACCAGCCAAGUCGCGUGAGGGAAGACGGUCCUAUGGAUUGUAACCCUCUUUUGUCGGGGAGCACAAGACGCCACGCGUGGCGUUCCGAGAGUACCCGAAGAAAAAGCAUCGGCUAACUCCGUGCCAGCAGCCGCGGGACUACGGGGGAUGAGAGCGUUAUCCGGAUUUAUUGGGUUUAAAGGGUGCGCAGGCGGCGAGUUAAGUCAGCGGUAAAAUUUCGGGGCUCAACCCCGACAAGCCGUUGAAACUGGCUUUCUAGAGUGGGCGAGAAGUAAGCGGAAUGCGUGGUGUAGCGGUGAAAUGCAUAGAUAUCACGCAGAACACCGAUUGCGAAGGCAGCAUACCGGCGCCCAACUGACGCUCAGGCACGAAAGCGUGGGUAUCGAACAGGAUUAGAUACCCUGGUAGUC